UACGCAGGCGGCAAAUUAAGUCAGUGGUGAAAUCCUGCAGCUUAACUGUAGAACUGUCAUUGAUACUGGUUUUCUUGAAUAUAGUUGAGGUAGGCGGAAUGUGUAAUGUAGCGGUGAAAUGCUUAGAUAUUACACAGAACACCGAUUGCGAAGGCAGCUUACUAAGCUAUGAUUGACGCUGAGGCACGAAAGCGUGGGGAGCGAACAGGAUUAGAUACCCUGGUAGUCC
rnacentral:rRNA from 1 species